UACGUAGGGUGCAAGCGUUGUCCGGAAUUAUUGGGCGUAAAGAGCUCGUAGGCGGUUUGUCACGUCGGAUGUGAAACCCUGAGGCUCAACCUCAGGCCUGCAUUCGAUACGGGCAGACUAGAAUUCGGCAGGGGAGACUGGAAUUCCUGGUGUAGCGGUGAAAUGCGCAGAUAUCAGGAGGAACACCGGUGGCGAAGGCGGGUCUCUGGGCCGAUACUGACGCUGAGGAGCGAAAGCGUGGGGAGCGAACAGG
rnacentral:rRNA from 1 species